CGGGACGGGUGAGUAAUGUAUGGGGAUCUGCCUGAUGGCGGGGGAUAACUACUGGAAACGGUAGCUAAUACCGCAUAACGUCGCAAGACCAAAGAGGGGGACCUUAGGGCCUCUUGCCAUCGGAUGUGCCCAGAUGGGAUUAGCUAGUAGGUGGGGUAAUGGCUCACCUAGGCGACGAUCCCUAGCUGGUCUGAGAGGAUGACCAACCACACUGGAACUGAGACACGGUCCAG
rnacentral:rRNA from 1 species